rnacentral:siRNA from 1 species
AAUCAGGUUUUUUCGGGCUUUACC